rnacentral:tRNA from 1 species
GUCUCGAACGGUAUGAACCUUCCCGUGCUUUUUAGAACAAGAUCGCACCAGUCAGGUGACGAUCGCAACACAUACGCCGUUGAGAUGAUUGCCUAGGCGAUCACCGCGGUAAGGCGAACACCGCCGUCUACGUUUCUCUUUCUCGAUUAGGAUAUGUCCUCACGCUGUCGCGGCUUUGCCGCUGCGCUCCGGACGGGGCGCCGGACGACCGGCGUGGGCCUCUGGCCCUGUUUGGUGGUCUGAUCGACGUUCGAUUGACUGUCGCCUGUUGGUUCGAUCAGUGUGUGUACACGUAAAUCGGGCCCGUAGCUCAGUCGGUUAGAGCACACGCUUGAUAAGCGUGGGGUCGGUAGUUCGAGUCUACCCGGGCCCACCAUGUUCUCUUCCGAUCGAUGAUCGGAGUUGAAGAAUUGGGGCUGUAGCUCAGCUGGGAGAGCACCUGCUUUGCAAGCAGGGGGUCAGCGGUUCGAUCCCGCUCAGCUCCACCAUUCCUGAUGUUUUGAAAGAAACAUCACAGGUGGAAGACGGAAUAUCCUAAGAGAGAAAUAAAAGUUUGCAUCGGUUCGUUCGAGCCUGAUGCCUGUUCUGAUUACAUUGUGAAGAGAAGAUAUGUCUGGAAGCUUCCAGGUGUUUUGAGCAAUUCUUACGAAUUGCCCGGGACGUCCGAGCCCAGUCUCAUCGAAACCAAGGAUGGUCUAGCCGACCGGAUCUGGUGGAGGGGCUGGAGAAGGUAGGAAGCUUGUUACUCAAGGCAUGUUUGUUGUUGGUGGUUUGGAACCGCUGGAACUUCAAGUCCGCAAGGAUUUGGGGAUUUUGGUGUUUCUAAAACAUCUCUGACGGCAUGUUGAUGGAUGUUGCCUGACCGCGCAUCCCCGGACAGAUCUCGAGAAGCUGGUCUUAAUGAUCCGGCCCCGAAGUGCACCGGCGUGCCUUCAGAUGGGGAACGGAUCGAACACGUCGAUGGCAUCUGGAUUUGGUGUGGCUGUAAAAGGUAGUCACGCUGUUGGAUCCUGGUCCUACACACUGAGAAGUGUCCGUAUGGCCAGGUUUGGAACCCCUUCGAGCGCAAGCGAGGAGGUUAGGUUUGCCAAACCCAACAAAGGAUGAGCAUUGGCAAUGAGAACGAUCAAGUGAAAUAAGGGCAAUUGGUGGAUGCCUUGGCAUGCACAGGCGAUGAAGGACGUGAUA